UACAGAGGGUGCAAGCGUUGUUCGGAAUUACUGGGCGUAAAGCGCGUGUAGGCGGUCUGAUAAGUCAAACGUGAAAUCCCUCGGCUUAACCGAGGAACUGCGUCUGAUACUGUCAGACUUGAGUGUCGGAGGGGAUGGUGGAAUUCCUGGUGUAGAGGUGAAAUUCGUAGAUAUCAGGAGGAACACCUGUGGCGAAGGCGACCAUCUGGAAGACAACUGACGCUGAGACGCGAAAGCAUGGGGAGCAAACAGG
rnacentral:rRNA from 1 species